UGAAAUAUUAUGUUGGAGCAUUGGAAAUUAGACCAAAUGAGUUUAAACUGGACAAAUUUACAAGAGUUUUCUGGAAAUAUGAACUUUUAAACAUGUGUAUUUCAUGAUUCAGUUAAAAUGGAGGGAACUACAUGUAUAUAACCAUUUCUAACAGUUGCAAACUUUCAAGUCUUGGAGUCACAUGAGAUGUUUCAACUCAAAGGAUGUCAGAUGGAAAAGUGAUAAAUGUACUGUUGAAUACAGAAUGCUUACAAAACCAUCCUGGACCAACUGCAGAGCAAGGUUAUUGGCAUAACAAGCUACAGUAAGAUGGCCAUUGUUCUAUUCCGCUUUUUGUAUAAAGAGGAGGAAUAUGCCGGAAAAUCAUUGACAGGGAAAGCAUCCAAAAGUGGCGAAAAAAGGCCACCUGUUGACCAAGAAAAGUUGACAGGGAUUUACGGUCAGUGUUUCUUUUUUUUUUCUUUCUUGGUUAUUUAAAUUUCAUUGAAAGUUUUUUAAUUUCAUUGGAAGUUUUUAACAGGGAUUGAAAAAAUUUUUCAUAGCCAAUCGUCUUGCAGGACUUGUAAGUGUCUUCAAAUUGCUAC